CUUGGCGACCAUAGCACUUUGGACCCACCUGACUUCCAUUCCGAACUCAGAAGUGAAACGAAGUAGCGUCGAUGGUAGUGUGGGGC
rnacentral:rRNA from 1 species